rnacentral:lncRNA from 1 species
ACAACUUGGAGGGAAGGAGGUUAGGGAAGGGCUCGGGAAGAUUGACAACUGAGGAGAGGAGGAGAUUAGGGAGGAAGGAAAUGAACAAACAUUGAACAAACAUCAAUUUAAGGCAAAAAUGCACCACAACACUGCAUUUUUGAUAUCCUGCUUGAAAAUGUGGCCUGAUUUUCAAGGAUUUUCAAACUAAGCGAAUUCAAGUCAGAAUAGUACUUUACAGUCCUAAAGAAUGCUUUGUUUUCCCGCUUUACCAGUGGGGCCUUACACACCUUUGCCAGUGAGGCAUAGGAGGCAUUGAUUAUAUAUCUAUCAUAAACUCUGGGAUACAGAAACUUCAUAAGAAUAAUGACUUUUUAUUGAGGACUGCUCUGAGCUGAAAUUAAUGCAUCUUCUGUCUGCAAAGAUGAAGCAAUUUAAGAAGCAGAAUAGAACAUAUUUGGAUGGUGACAGAGCAUCAGACCCAUAAAAGAGCAGAACAGUGUCAACAGCUAUGACUUCUCCUGAAGACGUCUGCUCAAUGGGUAAGGGCUGUUGUAAUUGCUAUGUGAUGUACAGUCUGAGAGGCCUAUCCCAACGUGAAAGUUAUAUACAUCAGAUUUUCAGAUUCAAGCAGAGCGUGUGCUAUAGGAGGACCUGGGUAUCCUUGCAAGACCUCUUUCAUCUCUCAUUGCAGAUAGGAUCUGGCAAAGAAGGAGCACCACAUUAUUUUAACACAAAGACAACUGUCACAUUAUUUCCCCAGUGGCCAAUCACCCUGCAGGGGACAACUUCAUCUAUAUUGUACCUGCUUAACAUACUUCAUUAACUCUGUCAAUUACCAGCUACCUCAGCACCUUUUCUGUUGGCAUUACACAAUUUAUUCUUUCAUUGUCCCAAACAGUACCACAGCUCCUACUGCUUCAUAAUCCAAGUAAGGAGAUAUUAAUCUUAGAAAUGUGUAUUAGAACAAUUAAAAUAGAUUUUCAAGAUGGUUUAUGGUUUGUUUUUUUGAUGGUGUUCAGAACAUACUACUAUUUUUGAAUUUUAAAUAUAAGGGAGAGUUCCCUCCAAAAAGCAGACACAUCUUUUAAAGUGUACUAUAUUUUUUUUUUUUUGACAGAGACUUUUCAUAGAAGUUCUCACUGCCAAGUAUAGCAGCAAACUUUUCUAGUUUAACAUACUCUUUCAAGAUAAACUAAAGGCAAAUAAACAGAGACUUGACUUUAGUCACCUCAUUGAGGCUUGCUAGCUAGGAGCUAAGAAGCAUAUUUAUCCUGGGCUCUUCUGCAGGCAUUGGAGACAGGCUCACCAUUCUGAAUAGAAAUUCAGCCCACCUAAGCCAAACUAUACUCACUGACUUGUGUGAGACUGCUCCUCACCACAGGCCUUGGUUAAGUGGUUUUUCAUUGUGUAAUUUAGAAUAUCUUUGUGAGAAGCAGGACUUCUGGUUCAAGAGUCAGACAGAGACAGUUCAAGAGGGUGGCUGCAAUGGCCAACUGAAAGGUGGGGUUGGAUGAGGAGUUGAAAGUCUGGGGAGGGGAAUAGGAAGGGGGUUUGAGAGUUCCAGGCAGCAAAGCUGCAGGAGGCUCCACAGACAGAAGGUGUAAAACUAGAAGGAGCAUUUCUUUGAGCUAGCACUCAGUGUAUGCAAUUGUCUACUUGAAUAUUAAGCUCUGCUCAUGCUGAUCAGCUUCAGUGAAUGAGCCCAGAUCACCCGAGAAAGGAGCAUGGGGGGGCAGUGUUGGGUACAAAAGGGUGACACUCACAACUGCACAAUUCCACAAUUCCCCACCACUGCUGUGGGGCAAGAACAGAAUUACAGGACUCCUCCUUACUUCCCUCCCUCACCCUCUUCUCUUUCUCUAUUUUUUUUUCCCUUUUCCUUUAUCUGGAGUACGACAGGUUUCUUCAAAGGACACUUUUGAAACUAAGAAAACCUGUAUUUUCACAGAAAAAAAUCAAAUAGUAAAUGACCUAAUGCCUGCUACAAAGACAUCUGAUUAAAGCAAAUUCAACAUACAGUUUAGAACAGACUAGCAUCAAACGUUCUGAAAGGGAACAGAUGAACCAAGAAAAUUGAAAGUCAAUGGAAAUCCUAAAUACCUGCUGAUUACAUGGAGUUUCCCCAGUCAGUUUUCAAAAGAAGCAAGGGACAUCUGAUCACUCAGCUCCUGCUCUAAUUAGUUUGAAAGGCAAAUCCAUCAGAAAAG